UACGAGUGCCCCAAGCGUUAUCCGGAAUCAUUGGGCGUAAAGGGUGUGUAGGCGGUCUCUUUAGUCUUCUGUCAAAAUCUCGGGCUUAACCCGAGACUUGCAGAGGAAACGGAGAGACUAGAGGAUGUGAGAGGUAGAGGGAACUCAUGGAGUAGGGGUGAAAUCCGUUGAUAUCAUGGGGAACACCAAAAGCGAAGGCACUCUACUAGUGCAUUCCUGACGCUGAAACACGAAAGCGUGGGUAGCGAACGGG
rnacentral:rRNA from 1 species